CCUGAGAAUAAUGUGGAGAGUCAAAGCGAGCCAAGACCCGGAACUCCCUCCCGCAGGCAUUGGCUCCCACGUUGGGGGUGUGGUCUACUAAUUUCCCUCUUUGUAGAGUCUGAUGGAUGCAGGAGUGCCGGCAGGUGAGCAGAUGACUAAACAGUGGACUCUUAAAAGAGAGUAGAUUCAACUAGAGGCCAAAAUGCCUGGGUUCCAAUACUCGAUUUACUUUUUACUAGCUGUGUAAUGUUGGGCAUACAGCUUAACCUCGCUGAUAAGCUUCCUGAUCUGAAAAUGGGUAUGAUGAUGAACUUCUUCCUUAUAGGAAUGAACGUUUGUCACACUUGGUUCUUAGGACAAUGCCUAGUCUAGGAAUUAAUAAUAUUGGGUAUUAUUGAGUACCCCUAGAAGAGGAUGGUAAGGCUUUCUGAGACUUCCUGACCUGGGCACUUGGUGUGUUCUGUUCAGGAGUCUGCAAAUUUAACAUUGGUGGAGUUCAAGGCCAGCAGGGGCUACAUUAGAGACUCUGCUUUUUUGUUGUUUUAAGUAUGUGUCAAACGUGCCAUGUGUGGAUCAGAGGACAACUUGAGGGACUCAAUUCUUAUCUUCUACCAUGUGGAUCCCAGGGAUCAAACUUAGGAAUGUAAGUCUGCAGCCUUGGCAGCAAGGGCAAGCACUUUCACCCAUAUGCAUGAGUCAUACCACCGCCGCCACCCAUUAAACCGUGUGUGUGUGUGUGUCAUGUAUGUUGCAUGUGUGCUCUCCUAUGCAGGCCAGAGGUUGAUGCUGGGAUGUCUUUUCUCAGUCACUUUUCUAACUUAAAAACACCCCCCCACCCCUUUUAAGAAAUCCUUUGAUCUUUAUGUGGCUCUGGUUUGCCUGUUGCCCUCAGAUGCCAAGAGAGGGUGGAGGAUUGUCUGGAACUGGUGUUAUAAUUGUGAGCCACUGUGGAUGGUGAGAACCAAAAGUGGGUUCUUCAGAGGAAUCACUCGUGGUCUUAAGCACUGAGCCAUCUCUCCAGCCCCCUCCUCUAUAGCAUCGUUGUUAUAAUCAUUAUUUCAAGACAGGGACUCUCACUGAGCCUGAAGCUUGACAUUUUGGCUAGAGUGGAUAGCCAGUGAGCUCCCAAGAUUUUCCUAUCUCCAUCCCCCAGUGCUGGGGUUCCAUGUGUGCUGAGAAUCUGAAUCCAGGUCCUCAUACUUGUGCAGCACUGAACCAUCUCUCCAGUUUCACAGCCACCGGAGUCCCUGGGUUACAGGUGUGUGCCACCACUCCUGGCUGAUGUAUAUAGUUUUGUGUAAACAUGUGUCUUCCCCCUGCCAGGGCUCCUCAGGUCUCUCUCCCUGCUCAUCCUAGGAGUAAGCACCUCAGCGAUUGUCGCAGGUAAAUAGGUCCCCACAGAAAUAACUAGAUGUAGCUUCUAGGUCCUGCCCCUCAUAUACACUUUCCACUGAGGCAGGUGAUUCUGACAGAGGUUAGCAAACAGUACUGGGUCAAUGUUAGCCUAGGAGUUCAUUAAGAGUCCUUCCGGGACUGCCUUCUAGGAGCCUAGGUCAGCAGGGACUGACAAGGGUGGGAGGAAGUCAGCCAACUCCAGCACUGCUCAGCCUGCUCAGCUUACUCAGGGGCACAAAUAGCGCACAGUCAGAUUGUAACGGCCAGUGCUGAGCAGCAAUGGAGGAAUGGCUCACACUGCAGAUGAAGUCUUCAGGCUGGGGACAAAUGGGAGUGGCUGUGGCUAUGGUCUCUGAAGCACUUCUGUGAAUGUGGGGUAAAGGCUCCUGGUUAUCAGGGGAGGAAGGGGCUGAUGUAGGCCUCAGGAUAUCGUAGGAAAAUCUACUCUGGAGAACAACGGAAGCACAGGGCUGUCUAGAAGCAGGAAUAAAUAGGAUCCCUGAACAUUCUCCAAGAACCCAGCAUAGUCUAGAGUUAGCAAAGUGCUUUCCGGGGUUGGGGAUUUAGCUCAGUGGUAGAGCGCUUGCCUAGCAAGCGCAAGGCCCUGGGUUCGGUCCCCAGCUCCGAAAAAAAGAAAAAAAAAAAAAAAGAAAUGAUCAAAGCAAAGUGCUUUCCACACCAAACCUUAUCUGGCUGUCCAUGUGGUACAACUUGGGCAAGGCCUGUUGUUCCCAUUUUACAGAUGAAGUGAUAGAGGGUCCUUUGGAGGAGAACUUGGUUUGGCUGUGCUUUCAAGAAAAGGAAUUCCACUACCACCUCCAGGCUGCCUUUCCUAGGCAGGCACCCCUCUUUCUUGUGGAAGAAGGCUUUGUGACAGCACCUGGGCCAUCGAAGGCGUUGGCCAGCCCAUCAUUGUGGUCUCCUUGGAAGAAGGAACCUCCAACCCAUUCCUCAACCCGCCAAGUCUGUGAAGGAAAGGUAGACUUCCCAACUUUAUGAGCUAGGAACCAGCCCUGCAUGCACAGAGAGGAGCAGGUACUUGGCCUGAAGUUCCGGAUGCAGCACAUAUGAAUCGGUACUCAACCUGCCGGCUACUCAGUUAGAUCCAACCUUGGGCGCAGGAGAAGGUAAGAUGCAGCCAGAAAGAAGCAUCCUCAGAACUCAGGUUCAAGUGUUUCUGGGCUGCUCGCUUCCCACUCAUGCCCAUGGGCCAUCGUGCACUUGACAGUCCGGGAUGGCUCUCCUUUGCAAACUAAGAAGGUCCGACCCUUGGGUGAGGGAGGAGGAGGGAUCGUGACAACUGAUAUUUGAGCCCCAAGCUCCCGUGUCCUCUCUGCUCUGGCCUGCCGUGAGCCUCCCUAUUAUUUCUUUUACUUUUUCAUCCUAUUGUUCAGGAACACAAUGGGAUGUGCAGCAUGCUGACGCCAAGGAUAUCGUUACCCCAGUGCCAUGACCCCAGAGCUGACUGUGGAUGACUAAGGUCAUUCAGAACAGGACAGCCGGGGUGGAUGAACAUGCAGAUGCACCAGCAAUGGAAUAGUGCAUGCCUGGAAACAGCCACCCUAAAGCUCCUUAUGAAGAUAAGAAAGACAAGAACACAUAUUUUGUGUGCAGUGAGGAUAGUUGGCAAAACCAGCACAGUUAAAAGUGGGCACAGUCCAAAGUGCACACAGUGCAAUCAAACUUGAAAACCUAACGGAAAAUACUCAUCUUGUGAGCAACCUUGAAAGUCACAAAAAAAAAAAAUCGAUCAAAGAAAAACUGAUCCAGUCAAAGCAACCAUCAGGGGCUGGAGAGAUGGCUCAGCGGUUAAGAGCACUGAUUGCUCUUCCAGAGGUCAUGAGUUCAAUUCCCAGGAACCACAUGGUGGCUCACAACCAUCUGUAAUGAGAUCUGGUGCCCUCUUCUGGCCUGCACGUGUACAUGCAGGUGGAAGGCUGUAUACAUAAUAAAUAAAUUAAAAAAAAAAAAAAAAAAGCAACCACCACAAUACUAAAAUCCCACACAGUAAAACUUAUUAUUUGUGGAAAAUAGACAGAAAAACCAAAUCUUCAUAAAUCUUAAAUGGGUAGCAUUUGACCCUCGAAUAUUUGAUUGGGAGAUGGGGAGGAAGAAGAGAAGGAAAAAGAAAGAGAGGAGGGGGAGGGAGGGGAGGAAAAAAGAGGAUCAGGAGGGAGAGGGAAAAGGAAAGGCAGGAAAGAAGGAGAAAAGCAAGGAGGAAGGAGAGGAGAGAAGGACUGUGACAUAGGUCAGAGGCAUCACAUAUGGCUCUGGGUUCAAAUCCCCCUCCGGAAAGGAAGUAGCAGGAAGGGAGGAGACAGGAGGGAAAGAGAAGACAAGGACAGUUCCAAACAGGAGAAACUGGGAGAGUACACAAUAGGCUGUGGUGAAAUGUUCACAAAGGCAGACCCCCGAGACAGAAAGCAGGUUAGUGGUUGCCAGGGCACAAUGGGGAGCUAAUGGCUAAUGGGCAUGGCAUGUCUUCAGAGGAUAAUGAAAACGUUCUGGAAGGAGGGAUUAGCUUGUGGUAAUGGUUGGACAAUUCUACAAAUAAAAUAAAGCCUAUCGAACUGGAUGUCUUAAA